GCCCGCCUAGCUCAAUCGGAUAGAGCGUCAGACUCUUAGGCGGGGUUAAUUCCUUGUGAUCUGAAGGCUGCGAGUUCGACCCUCGCGGUGGGCU